ACCACUUCUGGCUUUUUGGCUAAGAUUAAGUGUAGUAUCUGUUCUUAUCAGCUUAAUAUCUGAUACAUUCCUCUAUCUGAAGACAAUAUAUUAAAUGGAUUUUUGGAGCAGGGAGAUGGAAUAGAAGCUUGCUCCAUCCACUGUGCAUAUUGAUCUGGUAUUGUACUUCUGGGAAUGGUGCACCAAAA